rnacentral:lncRNA from 1 species
AUGAGGGCUGGGUUGGGUAGAAUAGCAGAUUGGGUCGGGUUUGGUUGGAUCCGGCCAUUUAUGGUUUUAUUAUUUUUCGGAAUAUAUUUUCAGUGCGAAAACAAAUUCAGAAUAUUCUAGAUAAUGUUUCUAAAGAACGAAAAAUAUCUAGAGAAUCCCAAAAAUUCUAGGAAAAUCCCAGAGAUAGAUUGGGACACGAGGAGUUCAAAUAACAAACUUGGAGCUCGUGAAAAGGAAUUUAGAUCCUUCUAAUCAAUAGAUUUAACUUUAGAAAAAUAAAAAUGACUUCCGAAAAAACUAAAAAAUUACAAACAACCUGCACCCUGGCAUCCUUUAAAUGUUUCAGGUUUGAAAACAUUUGGCCCAAGAAUGAUGGCUAUUUGCAUACUGUGGAGCAAGCCUGGACCUGUCCAUGGC